AUUAGUUUAUUUGUAAUAGAAUAAUUUGAUAAGAAUUUUGCACCAUUAUAAUAAAUAAAAACAUUUAUUUUUUCGCAUCAUGAAAGACUUUACAUAAUAUUUAAGAAUGUCAGAUUUUUCUUCAAUUAGAUCUUUUAACUGUCAUAUUUCUUUAAUAGGCAAAUACUUAUAUGUGCUUCAAUAUCAAUAUCACUAGGUUAAUUGCACAAAUCAAGCAUCUUAUUAAUGAGAUUAGCCAGAAAUCCAGCAAAGUACAUCUUAUAUAAUCUUACCAGGUACAUGCUAAAAUUUCAAGUUAUUAUUUGAGUAUAACUUACAUAUUGUCACUGUUUAUUGAGGCAUUUGAUAGCAUAAAGAAAUACAAUGAAUAUAUUCCAACUUAUUUCUUUCAAAUUGCAAUUAAUAAUAUUAAAAACAUUCAUUUGUAAGAGUCCAACU
rnacentral:lncRNA from 1 species